rnacentral:lncRNA from 1 species
UAUUUUGGAUUACAUUAUCCAAAAUGGUAUUGUGGAUUAUAUAAUCUGGAAUAUCAUUCUGGAUUAUAUAAUGUAGAAGUCUGGAUUUGAUAGUAGCUUCCGGAUUAUAUUCAGACACGUAUUUCGAAAAAGGCUUCCAAAUUACAUAAUCUGAAAGCUAGAAAAGACUUCAUGCUUCUGAAAAAAACUUUCAGAUUAUGUAAUCUG